rnacentral:rRNA from 1 species
UACGUAGGGAGCGAGCGUUGUCCGGAUUCAUUGGGCGUAAAGAGCUCGUAGGCGGCUUGAUAAGUCGGAUGUGAAACCUCCAGGCUCAACCUGGAGUCGCCAUCCGAUACUGUCAUGGCUAGAGUCCGGUAGGGGCCCACGGAAUUCCUGGUGUAGCGGUGAAAUGCGCAGAUAUCAGGAGGAACGACCGGUGGCGAAGGCGGGUGGGCUGGGCCGGCACUGACGCUGGAGGAGCGAAAGCGUGGGGAGCGAACAGG